rnacentral:rRNA from 1 species
GGGGGAUAUUGCGCAAUGGGGGAAACCCUGACGCAGCAACGCCGCGUGAAGGAUGAAGGUCUUCGGAUUGUAAACUUCUUUUAUUAAGGACGAAGAAAGUGACGGUACUUAAUGAAUAAGCUCCGGCUAACUACGUGCCAGCAGCCGCGGUAAUACGUAGGGAGCAAGCGUUGUCCGGAUUUACUGGGUGUAAAGGGUGCGUAGGCGGCUUUGCAAGUCAGAUGUGAAAUCUAUGGGCUCAACCCAUAGCCUGCAUUUGAAACUGCAGAGCUUGAGUGAAGUAGAGGCAGGCGGAAUUCCCCGUGUAGCGGUGAAAUGCGUAGAGAUGGGGAGGAACACCAGUGGCGAAGGCGGCCUGCUGGGCUUUAACUGACGCUGAGGCACGAAAGCGUGGGUAGCAAACAGGAUUAGAUACCCUGGUAGUCCACGCUGUAAACGAUGAUUACUAGGUGUGGGGGGUCUGACCCCUUCCGUGCCGGAGUUAACACAAUAAGUAAUCCACCUGGGGAGUACGGCCGCAAGGUUGAAACUCAAAGGAAUUGACGGGGGCCCGCACAAGCAGUGGAGUAUGUGGUUUAAUUCGAAGCAACGCGAAGAACCUUACCAGGUCUUGACAUCCUACUAACGAGAUAGAGAUAUGUUAGGUGCCCUUCGGGGAAAGUAGAGACAGGUGGUGCAUGGUUGUCGUCAGCUCGUGUCGUGAGAUGUUGGGUUAAGUCCCGCAACGAGCGCAACCCUUGCUAUUAGUUGCUACGCAAGAGCACUCUAAUAGGACUGCCGUUGACAAAACGGAGGAAGGUGGGG